rnacentral:rRNA from 1 species
UACGGAGGGGACUAGCGUUGUUCGGAAUUACUGGGCGUAAAGCGCACGUAGGCGGAUUUGUAAGUCAGGGGUGAAAUCCUGGAGCUCAACUCCAGAACUGCCUUUGAUACUGGUGAGCUUGAGUCCGGAAGAGGUGAGUGGAACUGCGAGUGUAGAGGUGAAAUUCGUAGAUAUUCGCAAGAACACCAGUGGCGAAGGCGGCUCACUGGUCCGGUACUGACGCUGAGGUGCGAAAGCGUGGGGAGCAAACAGG